AACGUAGGAGGCAAGCGUUAUCCGGAUUUACUGGGCGUAAAGGGUGUGCAGGCGGGCCGUUAAGUGGUGCAUGAAAGCGAAGGGCUCAACCCUUCGAGGCUGUGCCAGACUGGCGGUCUGGAGUGCGGGAGAGGGCUGUGGAAUUCCGGGUGUAGUGGUGAAAUGCGUAGAGAUCCGGAGGAACACCAGAGGCGAAGGCGGCAGCCUGGUCCGCAACUGACGCUGAGACACGACAGCAUGGGGAGCGAAC
rnacentral:rRNA from 1 species